rnacentral:rRNA from 1 species
UACGGAGGGAGCUAGCGUUGUUCGGAAUUACUGGGCGUAAAGCGCGCGUAGGCGGCUUUGUAAGUUAGAGGUGAAAGCCCGGGGCUCAACUCCGGAACUGCCUUUAAGACUGCAUCGCUUGAAUCCGGGAGAGGUGAGUGGAAUUCCGAGUGUAGAGGUGAAAUUCGUAGAUAUUCGGAAGAACACCAGUGGCGAAGGCGGCUCACUGGACCGGUAUUGACGCUGAGGUGCGAAAGCGUGGGGAGCAAACGGG